CUCAAUAUCCCGCACGAUUUGACACCUCAUUCAUGGGUCUGUGACAAAAAAUGCGGGAGGAGUAGCGUGCCAAAGUUUUGUCAAGGCGAAUAGUAAUAGUAACACUAGAAGGUACAUUUCCUGAAGAAAAUGUGAGUGGUGCUUGCAGUGGCAAAACUCGCCCCUCUGUUGCUAAGGUGUGGUUGCUAGGGUACCCGGGGUGGUUGCUAGGGUCCCUAUGAUGGUUGCUAGGGCCGUUGCUAGGGUACCCAGGGUGGUUGCUAGGGUAAUCGGGGUGGUUGCUAGGGUGUUGCUAUUUGGUUGCUAGGGUACCCGGGGUGGUUUCUAGGGCGGUUGCUAGGGUCCCCAUGAUGGUUGCUAGGGCCGUUGCUAGGGUAUCCAGGGUGGUUGCUAGGGUAAUCGGGGUGGUUGCUAGGGUGUUGCUAUGUGGUUGCUAGGGUACCCGGGGUGGUUGCUAGGGCGGUUGCUAGGGUCCCCAUGAUGGUUGCUAGGGGCGUUGCUAGGGUACCCAGAGUGGUUGCUAGGGUAAUCGGGGCGGUUGCUAGGGUGUUGCUAUGUGGUUGCUAGGGUACCCGGGGUGGUUGCUAGGGCGGUUGCUAGGGUCCCCAUGAUGGUUGCUAGGGCCGUUGCUAGGGUACCCAGGGUGGUUGCUAGGGUAAUUGGGGUGGUUGCUAGGGUGCUGCUAUGUGGUUGCUAGGGUACCCGGGGUGGUUGCUAGGGCGGUUGCUAUGGUAACCUGGGUGGUUGCUAGGCAGUUGCUAUGGUACUUGGGGUGGUUGCUAAGGUGUUGCUAGGCGGUUGCUAGGGUGUUUUGGCUGGUUGCUAGGCAGUUGCUAUGGUCUCCUGGGUGGUUGCUAUGAUGUUACUAGGUGGUUGGUAGUUGUCACAGAUGGUCACUAUGUAGUUAUUAUAGAGUUCUUAGCCCAUUUGAG